UACGGAGGACCCAAGCGUUAUUCGGAUUUAUUGGGUUUAAAGGGUGCGUAGGCGGGAUAGUAAGUCAGAGGUGAAAUCCCACAGCUUAACUGUGGAACUGCCUUUGAUACUGCUAACCUUGAGUACAGAUGAUGUGGGCGGAAUAUGACAUGUAGCGGUGAAAUGCUUAGAUAUGUCAUAGAACACCGAUUGCGAAGGCAGCUCACAAAACUGUAACUGACGCUGAGGCACGAAAGCAUGGGGAUCGAACAGG
rnacentral:rRNA from 2 species